rnacentral:lncRNA from 1 species
UCCCUUUUAACUGUUAUUUAACAUUUAUAAAGCUAGAACAUGAUUAGCAUAAUCAAAAGCGUGGAAAACAAUGAUAACAACUGGGAACCAUCCCGUCACAGCCGACAUCGGGGUGUCACUAGUCAUGAGCUAUUAAAGAGUUCACAAAGAACCACAAAUCCGGAAAUGAGAACAAAGCCUGAAAAAUAACAUGGACACAUAAAACUAAGGGAGAAGAUCCAGUACCACGGACGCUAGCGGUCACUUGGCUCAGCUACGAUAACAAUUCUUCGAUCCGCUAAUAACCCGCUACCGAGCGAACAAUACCUGCAACUGCACGCGAGGUUCAGGGAGUAAAAUGAGUACUUCCAACUCAAUGGUAAUAAGAGUAAAUAAUAACUGAAGGCAAGAAAUCACGUAAGAGCAUUCCACCAUGCAAUAUGAGACAACACAACCAUUUGAGAAAAAGAAUAAGUCCGGGAAAAUCCUUUAGACAAUAUCUGUCUCAGUUUAAAACCACUUUUAGAAAUAUCUUUUACCAACAGUUAAGCAAGUAAAUGCAGGACAAAUAGUGCAAGUCAGCACAAUAGUCAGCCUCUCGAGCAUAAGCAAGUAUGCAUAAUUGAGAUCACAACUCGUCCUUCAGGCAAUAUUCUUACCUCUGGUCAGCCACUAAUACCUGACCCAUUUACAUCAUAUAGUGUCACUACACAAAAGUCAGCCUCUUGGGCACAAGCAAAUAUGCAUAAAUGAGCUCACAACUCGUCUUUUAGGCAAUAUUCCUACCUCUGGUCAGCCACUGUUACCUGAACCAUAUACAUCACACAGUGCCAUUGUUACCGCUAUUCCAAGAUAUAUUACAGUGUCAUUGUUGCCACUUUUCCAAGUAUAACAUACAGUGUCAUUGCUACCACUGUUUCAAGUCACUUUAUAAUCAGUCCAGAAAAUAAUAUAGUAAGCCUAUUGGGCUUUUACAAAAUAGUAGUUUUCGGCCCGAAAUAUGUUUAAAAUGUCAUUUAAAUUUUCAACGCUUAGAAUUAUGGCUGAGCUUGUAAAACAACAUUUAAAACCUUGGACUGGAGUUAGAUGCUAUGCAAAUCAUGCUAAGAAGUAAUAUCAAUCUUUGAAGGAUUUUACAAGUCGACACAAGGCCCCAAACAUGGCAAUCAGCUCAAAUUAUAAUGAUAACAAGUAAUUUCAAUCAAAUACGCAGUAAAAUUAACAACCGAGACGGACCAAGUCAUAAUCCCUAACGGUUCUCUACCCCAUGAUCAUAUCCGGCAUGCAAGCCACCUCAAUACGGCACUAUCAUGUGCAAAUCCGGAGUUUCAAACCCUCAAGAUAUCAUUUACAAGUAUUACUCACCUUGAAACGGUGGAAUCUCUAGCCCGCGAUGCCUUUUCCCCUCAAACCGGCCUCCACUUGUGUCGAAUCUAACCAAAAUCAAAUCUAAUACAUCACAACAUGUUAAGGGAACAUAACCCAUUCGAAAAGACUUGAAAAAUGUCAAAAUUCACGAAAUUUGCAAAACCCGAGCUCCGGGAUCACGUCUCGAAAUCCAGAAAUUUUUACAUCCAAAUGUUUCUUAUCUUUCCACGAGUAUAUACAUACCAAUUUCACAAAAAUCGGAGUUUAUUUGACCCCUCAAAUCACCAUUUUACAUUUUCAAUCUCAAGCCUUAAUUUCAUAUGAUUUGGAUAUGUUUUCAUAGAUUUCUAGGAUGAUUCUUCAAUAUUAUCAUGUAUUUAAGUCAUAAAACUUAACCUCCAAUCGAUUCCCAGUGAAAAAGCUUCAAAACCCUCGACAAAAGCUCCCAAGCUCGCUAAAAAUGGUGGAAAUGAGCUUGGGUCGCGGACAGAAAUGUUUUUAACAUUCUAUCAGGACCACUGUAGAUCCUUCUAUGAGAUUGCGACCCAAGUCAUGCGACCGCAGGGCACAAAAUUUCAAGCCCCUAAAUUCCUCUUACGCGAUCGCAGGCAAAGCCGCGCGAUCGCAGACCGCUGCCAAACGACCCUAUGCGAUCGCAAACCAUCUCAUGCGAUCGCACUAACCAAUCACCCAAAACUAUGCCAUCGCAAACCCCUUUACGCGAUCGCAUAGAGAACAUCUGAGCCCCCUCCAAUUCCUUCUAUGCGAUCGCAGCCACAGGCUCGCGAUUGGGAUGAGCAAAUUUUGCUCUUUAAUUUCUGCUGCAUUUUUGCAACUCAAAAAUCUCCGUUAGCCAUCCGAAAUCACCCUGAGGCCCUCGGUACCUCAACCAAAAGCACAUAUAUGUUCUAAUACCUCAUUCAAACUUGCUCGAGCCAUAAUAACACUAUCGUUAACAUCAAAAUCUGCUAAUGUUCUCAAAUCAAAUCUUAUGUUUCUUAAGAACUUCGGAAUUGCACAUUCGAUCAAAAACUCGACCAAACGAUGUCUGAAUGACCUAAAAAAUUUCACACAUAUCAAAAUCACUUAACGGAGCUACUGCAACUCUCGUAAUUCCAUUUCGACCCUCGAAUCAAAAUCUCACCUAUCAACCGGAAAUCACCAAAAUACUAACUUCGCCAAAAUAGGCAAACUUCUUCACCGAACCUCCAAAAUUACUUUCGAUUGCUCUCCUAAGCCUUAAAUCAUCCCAAAAAAAUAACCGAAUCAUAGGAAUUCAAUUCCGAGCCCUCUAACUCACAAGUCAAAUAUCCGAUUGACUUUUCCAACUUAAGCCUUCUUAAAAGAGACUUGUCACACCCCUUUUUAACCAAACUCAACAUAACCCUCUUUUAUAAAUAAAUAGAUUUACUAAAAGCUUGAAAAGGGUUUUCAAUUUUGAAAGUGACAAAAUUGUGUUUCAAAAGGAAAUAAACUCAGAGUCGCCACUUGACAUAGGUUUUGGUGUGUCAGGUCACCAUUUUUAAAAUACUGUUUCCAUUUAAAACAUUUGGACUCAAGACUAAGUCCGCACCAGAGAUUCGGGUAAAGGGGUUCAUUUGACUCGGGGAGAAGGUGUUAGGCAUUCCCCAAGUCCCGUGAAGUUCACAGUUGCGUACAUGAUCAAGUUGGCAAUUAAAAUAUUCGAUUGAGGUAGAAAACAUAGAAAAGGAAAAUAAACACACAAGAGGCUCGAGGUCAUCCCCACCUAAAGAAAAAUAAAAAGUAAAAAAAAUACUAAGAGUUCUACUUUCCGCCUCCAAUUGCAAAUACUUCAGGGCAUACCUCGGAUAAUAAUAUAUACAAACUUCUAAAAAUAAAAUACUAAGAGUUCUACUUUCCGUCUCCAAUUACAAAUACUUCGGGGCAUACCCCGUAUUAUAAUAUAUACAAACUUCACGGGGCAUUCCCCGGAUAAAUUUAACUAAGGGAUAACCUCCAACCUUCAAACUAACAAAAUCCUAAGGCUUGCCUAACCGAGUGUUGCUGGCCUAAUCAUGCUGCUAGCAAUGUUACAAGGCAAUUAAAUAAAAAGUAGUAAGAUAUUUAAGGUCCAAUUUCUUUUUCAUGUUCGAUUUUCUAUUCAAUAACCAAUGUUUCUGUUUCUAUUCAGUAGCAUUUCUUCCCCACGAAGUUGAGGUCAAAUAAUAGAUGAGCCAUUAAACUUAUAUAACUAAAAUCAGUGCACAUUAAGGCAAAUGUUCUAUUCAACAAUCAAAUAUCAAUGAAUUCACAGAAUCAUAUCACCACACAUAAGCUUUAAAGGAAUAAAACUGGGAAAGAAUUUUGACCUUAAUUCUGCGAAAUCGAAUCAAACGGAUAGGACCUUGAUAAACGACAGAUUGGCUAGAACUUGGAACAGAACCUCGGACAGCCAGCGGCGACGGCUCGGAAGGGCCCCAACUCAAUCAAACUCCAUCGCUCAAGCCGACACCAAUGACUAAACGUGAAAACCUCGCCGGAACUCAACGGAUCUCAAAUUCGCCGGAAAACUCGACAACAAACAGGCUGAAAACUAGCUAUCCGUGGCUGCCGUCCUUCUUCCUCUCAAUCUUAUCCAUUUUUUCUCCUCUUGUUUCCUUGUAAAGAUUCAUUAUAUAUAGCUACUAUUGGAGGAGUUUUGGACUAACUCAUCUUUGAUUUUAUGGCCAUGAAUGACUUCAACGUGAUUUGGGAUAAUGGAACUGAAGAAUUGAAAAUGAUGAAGUUUUUGUCCCUUUUAGGAAUUAGGAAGUUGUGGAUUUAAAACUUUUGUUCUAUCUUUUCUUUCAAGAAAUCUCCCAUUCAAUUUUUGUUCUUCGUCCUCUUUAAGGCUGUAUCCGGUUCCGGUUUUGGGUCUAUUUAGGUAAACGGUUCCGGUUCUGGCGGUUUCCGGUUCUGGCGGUUCCGGUUCUGGC